rnacentral:rRNA from 1 species
UACGUAGGGUGCGAGCGUUAAUCGGAAUUACUGGGCGUAAAGCGUGCGCAGGCGGUUUUGUAAGCCAGAUGUGAAAGCCCCGGGCUUAACCUGGGAAUGGCAUUUGGGACUGCAAGGCUUGAGUGCGGCAGAGGAGACUGGAAUUCCUGGUGUAGCAGUGAAAUGCGUAGAUAUGCGGAGGAACACCGAUGGCGAAGGCAGUCCCCUGGGCCUGUACUGACGCUCAUGCACGAAAGCGUGGGGAGCAAACAGG